UUUCCCCCAGAGGAAUGAUUAAAUCAGAAUUAUUUCCAUCUGGAACGUCUGAAAGAGAAUGGUUUGUGACAGUGACUUGGAAACCAAUGAAAAGCCAGCUAGGCACCCAUUUGUUUUGUUACACUGCAGUUGAUAAUCUAGGUCAAAACUCCAAUCAGACAUGCGCUAAACUCGUGGUAGACGAUUUCAUUGUUCUAAAUCAGGAUUGCAAUGCUUUCAAAACACCGGAAAAAGUACAUACUAAGUGCAUUGAAGCGACAACAGGCGUCCCCCAAUCAUUUUACCUGGCAACCAGCUGCUCCAGUAAUUUCGUUCAGUGUAACGAGCUUGGAACUGGAUAUAUAAUGCGCUGUGUACCCGGAACUGAAUGGUGCCAGCAUGUUUUAACAUGUGUACACGUAGGAUCUUGUAACAC